GUCCACGCCCUAAACGAUGAUGACUAGUUGUUGGGGGAGUUAAAUCCCUUAGUAACGCAGCUAACGCGUGAAGUCAUCCGCCUGGGGAGUACGGUCGCAAGAUUAAAACUCAAAGGAAUUGACGGGGGCCCGCACAAGCGGUGGAUGAUGUGGUUUAAUUCGAUGCAACGCGAAAAACCUUACCUACCCUUGACAUGCCAGGAACGCUGCAGAAAUGCAGCGGUGCCCGAAAGGGACCUGGACACAGGUGCUGCAUGGCUGUCGU
rnacentral:rRNA from 1 species